rnacentral:rRNA from 1 species
AAGGCCAGUGCUUGCACUGGUACUCGAGUGGCGAACGGGUGAGUAACACGUGGGUGAUCUGCCCUGCACUUCGGGAUAAGCCUGGGAAACUGGGUCUAAUACCGGAUAGGACCACAUUUUGGAUGGUGUGGUGGAAAGUUUUUCGGUGUGGGAUGAGCUCGCGGCCUAUCAGCUUGUUGGUGGGGUAAUGGCCUACCAAGGCGUCGACGGGUAGCCGGCCUGAGAGGGUGUACGGCCACAUUGGGACUGAGAUACGGCCCAGACUCCUACGGGAGGCAGCAGUGGGGAAUAUUGCACAAUGGGCGCAAGCCUGAUGCAGCGACGCCGCGUGGGGGAUGACGGCCUUCGGGUUGUAAACUCCUUUCGCUAGGGACGAAGCUUUUUUGUGACGGUACCUGGAGAAGAAGCACCGGCUAACUACGUGCCAGCAGCCGCGGUAAUACGUAGGGUGCGAGCGUUGUCCGGAAUUACUGGGCGUAAAGAGCUCGUAGGUGGUUUGUCGCGUCGUUUGUGUAAGCCCGCAGCUUAACUGCGGGACUGCAGGCGAUACGGGCAUAACUUGAGUGCUGUAGGGGAGACUGGAAUUCCUGGUGUAGCGGUGGAAUGCGCAGAUAUCAGGAGGAACACCGAUGGCGAAGGCAGGUCUCUGGGCAGUAACUGACGCUGAGGAGCGAAAGCAUGGGUAGCGAACAGGAUUAGAUACCCUGGUAGUCCAUGCCGUAAACGGUGGGCGCUAGGUGUGAGUCCCUUCCACGGGGUUCGUGCCGUAGCUAACGCAUUAAGCGCCCCGCCUGGGGAGUACGGCCGCAAG